UGGCCCCACACUGGAUUUAUCCUUCCU
rnacentral:piRNA from 1 species